UACAGAGGGGGCAAGCGUUGUUCGGAAUUACUGGGCGUAAAGGGUGCGUAGGCGGCCGCCUAAGUCAGACGUGAAAUCCCUCGGCUCAACCGGGGAACUGCGUCUGAUACUGGGUGGCUUGAAUCCGGGAGAGGGAUGCGGAAUUCCAGGUGUAGCGGUGAAAUGCGUAGAUAUCUGGAGGAACACCGGUGGCGAAGGCGGCAUCCUGGACCGGCAUUGACGCUGAGGCGCGAAAGCCAGGGGAGCAAACGGG
rnacentral:rRNA from 1 species